rnacentral:rRNA from 1 species
AUGCACGCUGGCGGCGUGCCUAAUCCAUGCAAGUCGAGCGAACAGACGAGGAGCUUGCUCCUCUGACGUUAGCGGCGGACGGGUGAGUAACGCGUGGAUAACCUACCUAUAAGACUGGGAUAACUUCGGGAAACCGGAGCUAAUACCGGAUAAUAUAUUGAACCGCAUGGUUCAAUAGUGAAAGACGGUUUUGCUGUCACUUAUAGAUGGAUCCGCGCCGCAUUAGCUAGUUGGUAAGGUAACGGCUUACCAAGGCGACGAUGCGUAGCCGACCUGAGAGGGUGAUCGGCCACACUGGAACUGAGACACGGUCCAGACUCCUACGGGAGGCAGCAGUAGGGAAUCUUCCGCAAUGGGCGAAAGCCUGACGGAGCAACGCCGCGUGAGUGAUGAAGGUCUUCGGAUCGUAAAACUCUGUUAUUAGGGAAGAACAAAUGUGUAAGUAACUAUGCACGUCUUGACGGUACCUAAUCAGAAAGCCACGGCUAACUACGUG